ACGGGGGGGCAAGCGUUGUUCGGAUUUACUGGGCGUAAAGGGCGCGUAGGCGGCCACCGCAAGUCAGUUGUGAAAUCUCUGGGCUUAACCCAGAAAGGUCAGCCGAUACUGCGGGGCUAGAGUGCAGAAGGGGCAACUGGAAUUCUCGGUGUAGCGGUGAAAUGCGUAGAUAUCGAGAGGAACACCUGCGGCGAAGGCGGGUUGCUGGGCUGACACUGACGCUGAGGCGCGAAAGCGUGGGGAGCAAACAGGA
rnacentral:rRNA from 1 species